CCAGAUAAGAGAAUAAAAGCAGGCUGCCUGAGCCAGUAGUGGCAACCCGCUUGAGUCAGCUUCUGCAUUGUGGAAGGUUUGUUCUUUCUCUCUUUGCAGUAAAUCUUACUGCUGCUCACUUUUUGGGUCCACACUGCGUUUAUUAGCUGCAACGCUCACCGCUAUGGUCUGCAGCUUCACUCCUGAAGCCAGCGAGACCACGAACCCACCAGAAUGAAGAAACUCCGAACACAUCCAAACAUCAGAAGGAACAAACUCCGGACAGGCGGCCUUUAAGAACUGUAACACUCACCUCGAGGGUCUGCGGCUUCAUUCUUGAAGUCAGUGAGACCAAGAACCCACCAAUUCCGGACACAAUGUUACUCCAGAUAAUCAGCGCCAUUUUCUGAAGCUUGAGAUGCAGGAAAAGAGGAGUGCUAUCCAUUAGAUGGAGACAGGAAGUAGAAAAAGAGCUUAAAGUUUUGGCUUGUGUUACUUCCUUGGGGAGAUCUUGCUGGACCACAUCAGGAAUAGGAGGGGUGUGUCCCCACAGCACUGUGUACACGGAAAUGCAGAUGAUAACUCCUGCCUCCAGACCCCUCUCUGAGAUGAUUCUGAGACACAUAUAAAUGGGCUUUGCAAACUGUGGGCAGUAGAUGUGAGAACUCUUCAUCUUCCAGACAGGAUCCAAGGUCCUUUGGAAGGGACAGUGAGCGGACUGCAUCCUGCUUGCAUGAAGACCCUGAUUCCCUCAAAUGUUGAAAGAGGUUGAAUUUACAAAUAAAUUAAGAAAUUAAGAGCAAAUGAAGAGGAAGGAAUGGUUAUUAACCGUGUGCCAUAGAUCUUUGCAUUAGUAAGCCUUAUGGUCCUUGUUUAAUAGAUGAUGAAACUGGGACUAAGAGAAGUGAAGUAAUCAACUCAAGAUCACAAAAUGAACGGGACAACCAGGUUUCAAACUUAGGUUUAUUCUGACACCAAAGCUUCCAUAUUUUUUUCCAUUCUAGAAUGUUAGAAGCAGUGGACACUCUGGAGUGUUCCCACAUGCUAAGCACUACGCUCGGUGCUCUAUAAGCAUUCUCUCUCUCAAUCCUCACGCCACACCUGGGCAAUCACGAUUACCUUCAUGCAAGGUGAGAAGUGCUGAAAGUUAUAAUUCCUUGCAGGGGAGGGAUUGAAUGUGCUUCCCGUGGAAGGCUGUGGUCUAGCAGUGCCUUUGGUUGGAGGGAGCAGGAAGCUUCAAGCUCUGCCUGGGGCCACUUCUCCCGCAGUUGAGAAUUAAGGGUUAGCACCUGGAAUUUGACUUAGAAAUGGGAUUGGUAAUUGUCUCAUUCCUCUUUACAGGGGUCAUCCCCAUCUACCUCACUCUGCCCUCUACUCCAGCCCUGCUCUCUUUGGCCCCUCUUUCAGUUGUUCUUUCUUCUCUCCAUCUGCCAUUCUCUUCUACAUUCCUUUUUCAACCAAGUAGUCACUCUUUAUCGCAGCAUUUCUCCUAGUGACCCUCCCUGGUGCCACUGAGGUGAGGGCCAGCCACAUGCCUGGCUUAGGGUCACUGUUUUCUUUGUAGGCAUCCUCUCCAGCACCUCCCUCCACCCACUUUCUGGCUAACUCCUAUUCUUCGCUGAGGUUUCUGCUUAAAUGUUACUUCUUCAGACCAUGCCUGACACAUCUGACUGGAUCAGGCCAUCUGCGUGUACACUCUCUAAUCAUUUUGCAUUUCCCCAUUACUUUUCACAAUUAUAAUUAAGUGAUUGUUUGUAAAACUUAUUUGUUUGCUAUCUAUGUUUCCUGCUAGACUACAAGCUCCAGGAGGGGAGGAGCCACAUCUGCCUUACUCAUUGCUGCAUCUUCCAUUCCCAGUAGAGCUCAGGGUCAGUCCUCUCAACCUCACACCAUGGCAGUGUUCCUCCCCUUCUAGGCAAAAGGCCAGACAGCCUCCUGACUUCACACCCUAGUCCCAUUUGUAAUUGUGCCAAGUAUCACCAAGUGUCAUACAAGUGUCACAGAGUCUAGUUAGGAGAGAUUCUGGUGGCAGCCUUCCCCUUUGCCCUUUGGAGAGUGAAGUUGCACAUUCCCACCUUGUGAGAGGUGAAGAAAGAGCCAACAGCCUAGCCUGCUUCUACGUCUCGACAACUCUGAGAUAUGGAGGCAUAGGAAGCUCUGGGAUCCUGGAAGAAAAUGUAAAAGAGAAAUUGGGACCCCAGGACAAGAAGUCCAAGAGAAAUGGCAGAAGACUCCUACGCAAUCUCUGUCACCACCGUAGGGGCAAAGGCAGAGCAAUUGGGACCAAUGACCCCAACUAGGAACAUAGCCUGGAAGCAGAUCCUCAAACACAGCCUGCAUCUCUCCCUGCUCCCCUCCCACCCUCCAGUUUUCCAGCCAGAGGCAUUUGCUCUAAGGCCCAGGCUGUGGCCCACCUAUCACCGCUACCCAAGUAGUACAGGAAAAGGAAAUUUGAAGAGGAAAAGAGGCACCAGGGAUGAGGACACACCGAGAAAAGACCAUGUGAAGACAUGGCGAGAAGACAGCCAGCUGCAAGCCAAGGAGUGAGGCCUCAGAAGAAACCAACCCUGCCGACACCUUGACCUUGGACUUCUAGUCUCUAGAAUUAUGCGAAAAUAAAUUCCUGUUGUUUAAGCCACCCACUCUGUAGUAUUUUGUUAUGGCAGCCCCAAGCAAACUAAUACAGUAUCCUUGAAGAAAGAAGAAUUAUAAAACCUAACAGUUAAGGGGCAGUUAAUUGACAUAUUAAUAAUUCAUUUAGUCUUCUCUUCACAGAAACUCUCUAUAGGAGUUAUUACCAUUUAUCACCAUUUUACAGAGGAGAAAACUGAGGCACAAGAGGUCAAGUAACCUGCUUCAAAGUCAUAACUAGUAAGUGACAGAGGCAGUUUCUUCACUCUCAGUCCUCUAAAAAGCAAAGCCCAAGGUUAAAGUGCUGACAUUUAGU
rnacentral:lncRNA from 1 species